UCGUUAAAAAGGCACCGGAUGAACUGUGGAUAGCGGAGAAAUUCCAAUCGAACUCAGAGAUAGCUGGUUCUCCUCGAAAUAGCUUUAGGGCUAGCCUUGAGGUUAAAGCAUAUGGGGGUAGAGCACUGAAUGAGGUAGGGGCCUAACCAGGUUACCAAACUCUAUCAAACUCCGAAUACCAUAUGUAAAUACUCAGGAGUCAGACUGCGGGAGCUAAGUUCCGUGGUCAAAAGGAAAACAGUCCAGACCGUCAAUUAAGGUCCCAAAGAUAUAGCUAAGUGGAAAACGAUGUGAUUUUGCGUAAACAACCAGGAUGUUGGCUCAGAAGCAGCCAUUCAUUUAAAGAGUGCGUAAUAGCUCACUGGUCGAGUGAAGUUGCGCGGAAAAUUACCGGGGCUAAGCUAUACACCGAAAUUGCGGAUUUGCAGUUGAAAGACACUGUAAGUGGUAGAGGAGCAUUCUGUAGUAGGACGAAGCAGUACCGAAAGGAGCUGUGGACGAGGCAGAAGAGAGAAUGCUGGAAUAAGUAGCGAGAGGAUGGUGAGAAUCCAUCCCGUCGAAAAUCUAAGGUUUCCUAGGGAAGGUUCGUCCGCCUAGGGUAAGUCGGGACCUAAGGAGAGGCCAAAAGGCGUAUCUGAUGGACAGCAGGUUGAAAUUCCUGCACUAUAGCUAUACUUAAAAGAUGCAAGGGACGCAGAAGUGGAAGAUAACCAUGGAAGAGGAAAGACAUGGCCCGCAAGGGGGAGUGAAACAAUAAGUAACGAAGUAUCAAGAAGCACGCUGACGAGAAAAGCUUGUAGAUAUUGUAUAGAAAUACCCGUACCGCAAACCGACACAGGUAGAUGAGGAGAGGAUCCUAAGACGAGCGGGAGAAGCAUUGUUAAGGAACUCGGCAAAUUAACCCCGUAACUUCGGAAUAAGGGGUACUGAUGUAACAGUCAGUCGCAGAGAAAAGGCCCAAGCAACUGUUUAACAAAAACAUAGGUUUCUGCUAAAUCGAAAGAUGAAGUAUAGGAGCUGACGCCUGCCCAGUGCUGGAAGGUUAAGGGAAGAGGUUAGAUUAUAUCAAAGCUUCGAACUGAAGCCCCAGUGAACGGCGGCCGUAACUAUAACGGUCCUAAGGUAGCGAAAUUCCUUGUCAGGUAAGUUCUGACCCGCACGAAAGGCGUAAUGAUUUGGGCACUGUCUCGACAAUGUCCCCGGCGAAAUUGUAGUACUAGUGAAGAUGCUAGUUACCUGCGAUAAGACAGAAAGACCCCAUGGAGCUUUACUGCAGUUUGAUACUGGGUUUCGAUGAUUUAUGUACAGGAUAGUUGGGAGGCUAUGAGUAAGAGGCGUCAGCUUCUUAGGAGCCAACGUUGGGAUACCAACCUUAAGUUAUUGAAAUUCUAACCUUUGAUCAUGAACUGGUCAGGGGACAAUGUCAGACGGGCAGUUUGACUGGGGCGGUCGCCUCCUAAAGAGUAACGGAGGCGUCCAAAGGUUCCCUCAGCGCGGACAGAAAUCGCGCGAAAGAGUGCAAAGGCAGAAGGGAGCUUAACUGAGAGACAGACAUGUCGACCAGAUACGAAAGUAGGGCUUAGUGAUCCGGUGGUUGUAAAUGGAAAUGCCAUCGCUCAACGGACAAAAGUUACCCUGGGGAUAACAGGCUUAUCUCCCCCAAGAGUUCACAUCGACGGGGAGGUUUGGCACCUCGAUGUCGGCUCAUCGCAUCCUGGAGCGGAAGUACGUUCCAAGGGUUGGGCUGUUCGCCCAUUAAAGCGGUACGCGAGCUGGGUUCAGAACGUCGUGAGACAGUUCGGUCCUUAUCUAUCGCAGGCGUAAGAUAUUUGAAGAGUGCUGUCCUUAGUACGAGAGGACCAGGAUGGACAUACCAAUGGUGUAUCAGUUGUCUCACCAGAGGCACGGCUGAGUAGCUAAGUAUGGAUUGGAUAAACGCUGAAAGCAUCUAAGUGUGAAGCCAACUCUAAGAUAAGAUAUCUCAUAUCGUAAGGUAGUAAGAUUCCAUAAAGACUAUGUGGUUGAUAGGUUGGAGGUGUAAGUGUAGCGAUACAUUGAGCUGACCAAUACUAAUAAAUCGAGGGCUUAACCAC
rnacentral:rRNA from 1 species